rnacentral:rRNA from 1 species
GACGAACGCUGGCGGCGUGCUUAACACAUGCAAGUUGAACGGGGCAUAUUUGAAGGGUAACCGGAGGGUAUGUCUAGUGGCGAACGGGUGAGUAAUGCAUGAGAACGUAUCCUCAAGAGGGGGACAACAUUGGGAAACCGAUGCUAAUACCCCAUAAGCCGGGAGGUAAAAGGAGCAAUCCGCUUGAGGAGCGGUUCAUGUCCUAUCAGCUGGUUGGUGAGGUAACGGCUCACCAAGGCGAAGACGGGUAGCCGGCCUGAGAGGGUGAACGGCCACACUGGAACUGAGAGACGGGCCAGACUCCUACGGGAGGCAGCAGUGGGGAAUAUUGGGCAAUGGGGGAAACCCUGACCCAGCGACGCCGCGUGAGGGAAGAAGGCCUUAGGGUUGUAAACCUCUGUUGUGUGGGAAGAAGAGCGUGACGGUACCACACGAGGAAGUCCCGGCUAACUACGUGCCAGCCGCCGCCGUAACAC